rnacentral:misc_RNA from 1 species
GUAGGUGAACCUGCGGAAGGAUCAUUAAAUGGUGUGGGGCCUUUGGCCCUGCCAAAUCAGUAUGAGGUGAGGGGUAACCAUCCCCUCACUGACAACUAUAUCCCCCAAUGCACCUAUUGAAAGGACCAGGUUAAAAAAGAAAAUGGGCAGAAAAUGGUGAUGGGAUUAUUGGUCGUCAAACCGAAGGCCCUUUUAGUUCAACAUGCCAAUACUUGGGUGAAUGCCCGAUGAUGGGCCAUGCAUAAAUAGA